AAAAGUAGGCCUAGCUGAUGCUAGGCCUACUUUUUUGCUUUUGAUCUGUGGGAAUCAGAAGCGAUGUGGGAAUGAAUA
rnacentral:sRNA from 1 species